rnacentral:lncRNA from 1 species
GCCGGCGCCCCCUGGAGGUGCGAAGGGCCUUCGGGCGCUGACAGGGAGAGCCUGGGGCCGGGCCGUGUGGAUGCCAUCCCCGAGCGCGGUUCGCGCUCGGCUGAGGCGCUGGACAAGUGGCUUGGGCUCCCGCGCCUCAGUUUCUCUCUGUGGCGCCGCCUACCUCACAGACUUGUGAGCACUCACUGACGUGGGUAGCGCCCAGGGCCUGCGGGGCGCAGGAGAGCUGGAGUCAGGCGGAGACCGCAGGCUGACCCCGCAGCGGCCGGGCUGUCGCGGCCCCCACCUCAGAGCCACUGGUGGCCGCAGAAGACAGUCCACGUGUCUUAACCAGACUUACAAGACUCCAAAGAUGGGUGCCUUGUAUCAAGCAGGUGCUCAACAAAUGUCUGCUGAAAAAAUGAUGCAGGGUGCGGUGGUUCACGCAGGAACCUACGAGGUGGGUGGAUCACCUGAAGUCUGGAGUUCGAGACCAGCCUGGCCAACAUGGUGAAACCCUGUCUCUACUAAAAUACAAAGAUUAGCCAGGUGUAGUGGCAAACGCCUGUAAUCCCAGCUACUCGGGAGGCUGAGGCAGGAGAAUCGCUUGAACCCAGGAGGGUGAAGUUGCAGUGAGCUGAGAUCGCACUACUGCACUCCAGCCUGGGUGACAGAGCAAGAGUCCGUCUC